GCCCGUCUAGCUCAGUCGGUAGAGCGCAAGGCUCUUAACCUUGUGGUUGUGGGUUCGAGCCCCACGGUGGGCG
rnacentral:tRNA from 1 species